AAAAAGAAAAAUCUAUCAGCUCUGAUUUCUGUCCCAGAAAAGGUACCUAGAUCAUUUCAUGGUCCCUUUUGAACCGGAAUUUCUCUUUCAUAUGAGGCUAUUUCUAAAUCAUUUUGUAAGGUAAUAAAAUUUAUGUGAGUGGAGAAACCACCAAAUUCAGGGUGCAUCUCCAGGAAGUGCCAGAUGACUUCUCCAAAUUGUGACUUCCCACACCUGCUGUCAGAUGCUGUCAGAAGCAUUUAACACGUGCGCUGUCUUUCACUUCUAAGGGACAUUUUCUUUUCAGAAUACAAAAUAACGUGAGGCAUUCUGAAUGAUGCAUUUAAUAUAUCAAUGCAAAGACAUAUUAAGUCCCAGCAAUAUUCUCCAUGCACACAACCUUACAGCUCACUUAAAAUCCUCCUCCUUCUAAGAUGGCGAUAUGAAAGGGUGGAUUUUGUGAAAUGGAAGGGAAUGAAGACGAAAAUCUCUAAAAGGAUUCUGAAACCUCUAAAAUGCUCCUGAGAUUCUAAGCAUCGGGUUAGGUGUGAGGGGUCUGGAAACCAUGUAUUAACACGCUUCACGUCACUCUGCACACGUAACACCGCAGGCAGUUAGUUACCUUAUAAGGAGAAAGGUUCAUUUUGCCUCAUAGCUCUGGAGGUAUCAUUCUAAAACCAGGCAACACUGUUGUUUUGGGUCUCUGGCCCGAGCGACACAUCACAGAAGGAGUACACAAUGGAGCAAACCACUUGCCUAGCAAGCCAGAAGGCUUAAAGAGAGAUAGACUCCCCCAAACAUCCCCUCAAUUACCUGAGCACCACACAUCAGGCUUCACUGCCUUCCAACAGUGCCACCUUGGGGACCUAGGUUUCAAUACGUGGGUCUUUAGAGAUCUUGACAAUAUUCAACACAGCAUAUUACUUAGUCAAAAAAUAAAGAACAACAAAACAACCCACCAAAACCUAUUUCCUUGUCAAGGGCUGGGAAAUAAUACAGACUAAGCUUAAGUCCAAAUCCAAAGCUUCGAAGAGCCAAAUCAGAAAAGCAUAGUGGGUACGAAUGUAAAAAUAGAAAAGUAAGAAUGGGAACCAGGACUUGGCUCCAGAGAGCACCAGUCUGGAGGCUUGAUUGACAUAUGUGAAACAUCAACACGGACGCCAGAGCCCCCUAAACAAAUCAAACCAAGACACCCAACACCAGAUAACUUGAGAAAGAGGAAAGGUUUCCUUCUAUUGUUGUAAGGAGAUCGGGGCCAACAGGGUUACCUAGAAUGAAGAGCAGGGAGGAGCAGCCAAGAAGAGGUUUUCCUUUAAGCAUAGAUGAUGAUCCCGGGCAUUUAAGGGAAUGACCUCACCUUCCAAGACGUAAGCACCUCAAGGACGCUGUGAAGGGACUGAGCAUAGAAACGGGUGAAGCGUGUGCUUUAUCAAGCUUCCCAAGUGUAGAAUCUGCAGACUGCAAGGCCCUUUGUUUGACGCUUAAGAUGGAAUCAAGCUAUUUGGAGCAUGGAAAUGGGAGUAUGAGAGUCUGAUACGAGAUGCUACCAGACCGAAAGAAGGGGAACAAUCACAUCAGACCAACGUUCAGUAGCAGAAGACUCAUAGGCAAGGUCAAGAACUACAGUGACCAAUGAUAAGAAGCCGAAUCCUUGGAAUAUUAUAAUCUUCAAUGUAAUUCCAGGGAAAAUCUAAGGUCAAGGUUGAGGAGUGUGUUCACAAGAGAGAAGAGUAGGAUCAGCAUCUGUCAACAAGUAAGUGCUAUUUGAAAGAGGAGCAUCUUCAAGCAUGGUGCCUAUCCCAGGGCCCUUUCUCGGGUGGCCUCAAAGACACGAGUCUUCAGAAGAACUGACAGCAAUUCCAGCCUCUAAGUCACUAUGCAAUGAACAUAUGUGGGACUGUGAAAACAGGUCAUUGUCAUAAAUGAUCUGGCUAGGCCUCAGCUGGGAAAGCUUCCAUCCAGUCCUUCAGGCCUCACCUCACCCUCCUCUGACUGCUGGGUAGCCGGAAAGGCUGACCUGUACACAGUUCUCUACUUAGGGCUGCUUGGAGAUGCUGCAGGGCAUCAUCUAGGAGGUAACAAGUGAAAGGAAGAUGCUCAUUUCUUCAGCAUUGACCCUGCUAAGCCACUGUCUCAACGCAAGUCCACCUCCUACCUGCUUCCAGCUAGGCUUGCUUUAUUCUCUCCCCUCUCUCCCCACUUCUUCCUUCCCUCUCUCACUCUUUACCUCCUGCACAUAUGCAUAUCUAGGCUCACAUACUUCCACAUGCACACACACACACACACACACACACACACACACACACACACAACCUACUAACCAUCUCCUUGCCUUUUAAAUCUAGUUAUUGUCAAAUACCUGCCAUCAGCCAAAGGUCCUGAGACAUCCUUUACGGUUUUUGUUUUUUUUUUCUGUGCCUUACCCGGAUACAAGAUCCAUGAAUAAGCUCUGCUCGGUGACUAACUCUGCAAGUACCAUUCACAGGAUUCUGAGUGCUCUACACCCCCAACUCACCACUAAUGUAGAAGUUGUUUUUGCGUUUCCCUAUGUGCAGGGUGGGUUUUUAAAGAGGAGCUGCUCAGGCAAUCUCCUGGCUUGUGAUGAAAACUAAAGGGCGGGAUGAUCCCUGGUGAGAGUCAGUGCUGGAAGUGAUUGAAGGCUUAGCACAAAGCUGGGACCCCCUGCUUCCAUACCAUGCUACAAUGAUAACAAGAAAAAUCAGCCAGAGACAGGCAGCGGGCUGUGUCUCACUAGGAAGCAUUCACACAAGCUCUCUUGGCCAGGCAGGUCCAGGCCUGCCCAGGCACCUCUCUCAGUGGGUCAGCUAUGGACAGAACAUUGGUGCCCCGGGACUACAUGAUGUACAGAAACACUACAUGAUGUACAGAAGCAAAGCAACCUGACACAUGACUUGCUGCUGCUCUUCCUGCUAGGCAUAGCUCCUCUCCCUGAUGUUGGGGUAGGGGUGAGUUACCUGCUGCUAGCCCCACCUGUGUUCAGGCAUCAAUUCAGAGAAAAGGAACUGUUGGGGAGGCACUUUUCUCAAGCCCACCCUCCUCUUCAUAUUCUCCCAUCUGAAUGUCUCAGCUGGUCCCGGUUUCCUGAGUCUUGGGGAGACUCUUUGGUGUCUCUCCGGGGACUUCCACAAGACACUUCGAUGAUCAGAGAGGAGAAAAGUGACUCGGCGGUAUGCACGGCUCCACAAGCCACUGUUGAGUUCCCUUUUCCGUCUUAGUUACUGUUCCAUUGCUGUGGAGAGACACCACGACCAAGGCAACUCCUACAGGAGAAAGCAUUUCAUUGGGGCUUGCUGCAGUUUUCAGAGGUGUAGUCCAUUAUCAUGGAGGGGAGUAUGGAGACAUGCAGACAGGUGCUGGAGCAGUAGCUGAGAGCUACAUCUUGAUCCCUGGGCACAGAAGGGGAUGGUGGGGGGAGGAAGAGAAAGAGAGAGACAGAAGGGGAUACUGGGUCUGGAGUGGGCUUAUGAACCCAUAGACCUCCUGCCUUGCAUCGUACUUCAGACAUAGCAAGUGAAAGUGCCUUUGAUGAGAGUCGAGGGCUGUAGGAGCCUGCCAACUUGACAGAAUCUUGUGAAUGAAAAUUCCCGAAAAGAAACUGUAUCUGAAAAAGCUGAUUGACUAAAACUUCAAUGACUGUGGAGAGGUUGGAAUGUUACUGAUCCAGAGCCUAAUUCCAAUUUAUCUGGGGCUAUCUUUGGCCCACUAAAUGGUCAUUCCUUGCCCCACUCCUUGGAAUUGUAUGAACUUAACAAAACUCUAAUUUUCCACCAACCAAAUCAUAAGAUUUCCACCAAUCCGAAGAUAUCUAAGAUCUAUAGAUAAGAUCCUCCCCACUGUGCUGGAACCCCACACUUACUGUUUACAUGUCUUGAUAAUGGUUUUCUUUGUUCUGUUGCUAUGGUGAUUUGAAAGAAAAUGGCCUCCAUAGGCUCCUAGGGAGUAGCACCAUUAGGAGGUGUGGCCUUGUUGGAGGAAGUGUGUCGCUAGGGAGCAGGCUUUGAGAUCUCAAAUGCUCAAGCCAGGCCUAGUAUGACGUUCACUUCCUGGUGCCUGCUGAUCUGGAUGCAGAACUCCAAGCUCUUUCUCCAACACCAUGUCUGCCUACACACGGUCAUGCCUCUCACUAUGAUGAUAAUGGACCAAACCCCUGAUACUGUAAGCCAGUAAGUUAAAUGUUUUCCUUUAUAAGAGUUGCCGUGGUCAUGGUGCCUCUUCACAGCAAUAGAAACCCCAACUAUGACAGCUGCUACAAAAACAUCAUGGAAUUGAUUCCACACUAGAACACGGAAUUUGGGGGCAAUCUAAAUCUGAGCUUCUAGGCCAUGGCCACUCACACUUGGUUCUAAAAUAAACUGUCUCAUAUUCCCCGAGAUGAGAGUAAUAAAUUUUUGUGUUGACAACCUCCAUGGAAAAACACCUGAGUGUGCUUGUGGGGAAGAAAGUCCCACCAUAAAUAUGGGAUACACCAACUGAUGGGCUGAGGCCCCAGAUUGAGUAAAAAAGGAGAAAGCAAGUAGAAUACAGCAUCCAUAUCUCUCAGCUUCCUGAGUGCACACAUGAUAUGGCCAGACACCUCAAGUCUGUGCUAGCAGGCCUUCCCUGCCAUGAUGGAGUAUGCUCUCAAACUGUGAGCCAAACCAAAUCCUUUCUUCCUCAAGCUGUAUCUUGUCAAAGUAAUAAGAAAGGUAACUAAUACAGAAAACAGGUACUGAUGUGUAGGGCUGAAAAUGGAAUAAAAUGACUAUGUUUCCCAGGCCUUGCGAGCUGAUUUGCAAGAAGAGUGGGGAAAAGUUUGGAGCUUCAGGCUAGCAAAGCCCCCAGAGCACAGUAAGAAGGGCUCAGUGGGCCACUUCACUGGGUCCUGAGAAUUACCAGAAUGUUGAGACAAAUGCAACAGUAGAGGCCUCACUGAAAAGGUUUUGGAGGAGAGCAAGAACUCUGUCGGGAACUUUGCUAGAGGUCACUCAUGGCAAAGCACCUGCCUGCAUUCUGCCUGUGCCCUGGGAUGUUAAGUGAAGCUGAAAUAAAAAAGUAGUGGACUAAUUUGUUUGGUGGAGAAAAAAAAAAUCUCAAAACAGGAUCAUGUUCAGGUUGCCGUGGCUCCAGCUCACGGUUUUCAUCCACUGUGAGAGAGAAACAGUGACGUGGAAAUACGUGGAAACAAUGUCCAGCUUGAGAGGAAAAUAGUGUGAGCCGGUUUCUAAACAAAAAAAGAUGGGCUUGAAAGCAGCUGUCAUAGUUCAAAGACUAGCAUCAUUAAAGAGAAACCUAGUGAUCUGCAUUGGGACAGUGUAGGGAAAGAUUCAGAAGAGAUUUUGGACUUUUGAACAGUCCUUAGACUACGAGGAUGUCUAGAGAUAGUCUGAGUACAUUUUGCUUUAUGCGGCUUUGGAUUCGGGAGUUGAAUGUUAUGACUUAAAGUGGUGUAUUUGGAUGUCAAAUUGCCCAGGUCAGAGUUAUUGGGGUUGUCGAUUUAAUGGAAUUUAGAAUCCCUGUAGAAACAUACCUCUGGGCAUGUCCAUGAAAAUGUUUCCAGGACGAUUUAACUGAAGAGAGAGGAUUCAAUCCAAAUGUGGAUAGCAGAAUCCCAUGGGCUGGGGUCCCGGGCUAAAUAAAAAGGAGAAAAUGGGUGGAACAUUAGCAUUCAUCUCUCUGUUCCUGACUCUACACGUAGUAUGAGCAGCCACCCCAUGAUCCUGCUACCAUGCUUGCCCUACCAUGAUGGACUCAGUGUAUGCCUUUGCAUCAUAAACCAAAAUAUAUCCCUUUAAGUUGCUUCUUUUGACUAUUUGAUGAUAGCAAUGAAGAAUCAAUUAAUACAGAGCCGGAGAAGUGACCUACCACUGGAUAAGGCCAUACCUGACCCUAUGGUUCUCUCAUCUCCGAAGGAAAAUGAGAGGAGCGGGCAGACACCAUAACAGGCUGCUCAGUCUUCUCUCAGAGAUCAGGCCUCGAUUUCAGUUUCUUGAGGGUGAACAAGCAAUUUCUGAGAGAGCCCCAAACAAAGAGCAAUUAAUCACUAAUGCCCCUGACAACACGGGCAUUGAGCCAGCCCCCACAGUCAGCGCAUAGAUAAGCCAGCCUCCAUAACAACUCACAACAAAGCCUGAGACUUGUCCAAGCCUGCCAACAAAUGAAAGAGCUGUAGCCUUAACCAGCUCCUUGCCAGCCCUAGCCAAUUAGAAUGUACUAAUAUGAUUGCCACUUGCUUAAGCCAAUCAUAUCUAAAGUGACCUAACUGCCCUAAAAACUCCCCUUGGUUGUGCUUAAAAAAGAGCCUGUGAGCUCCUCUCUGGAUCAUGCUGUUUUGCCUUUGUGUGGGAUGGCCGGCCCCAGCAUGCUGGAAGCUUUCUCAAGAUAAUAAACACUCUUGUUGAUUGCAUAUGUGGAUGGUGGUCUUUUGUGGGACUUCUCCAGGACCCUAAGAGAAAAGAACACAAAAGUAAAGAUAAAACAUGAGCAUGUUGGAAAAAAAAUGGUGAAUUUUAUAUAGUUACUGCCAUGUGUCAUUUACUGAUGGGGGUAAGCACUAAAGUAUAAAGUGUUGUCUUGUAUAAUAUUAGAGGGACCAGCCUUAACAUUAUACAUACCAGGGGCUCAGGAGAGAGAACUACUAAUGGCGAGGACUAUUUUUGGGAAAUAGAAUCUCAGCACACCGAGCUCUAUAGUCUACUUGCUUUAAUUCCUCUGGCAUAACAUCCUUUAUACACAGCUUCAAUUCUGUUCUCAUGCCUAGCUCCUUUCUUGCCUGAUUUCUCUCUAUAUUUAUCUACUGUUCCCUCUAGGUUCCAUCUUAAUUCCUUCAUCUAGCUCUGUCCCUUCUAGGUUCUCAUCCAUCUUGUUCUUUCCCAUAUCAGCUCCUCUCCCAUCUCCUUCUCUCCCAUCUCCUUCUUCCUCAUCUUAUUCUUCCCCACUUGGCUCUUCCUCAUCUUCCAUAUCAUUCCUCUAGUCCUCUCUUUUAACCCUUCAACCUAGUUCUUCCCCAUCUGUUUGUUCCUCUCAAGUUCUUACCCAUUUAGUUUUUCCAUUCUCUCUUUUCUUCUCUGUCCCGUGCCCUGGAAGUCCCAGUAUAUAAAGGGAGGGUCCAAGCCAAAUUGUGUAAAGCUAUUACUUAACGUCCACCUGACCUAGGAAGUGUCUCCUUGUGGAAUUUACCGUAAGUCAGGAGACUUGCACGUGGGCUGUUAUCACUGUUAGUCCUUGGAAGUUGGGCGCCCACUUGGGCGGUGUUUCCUGUAGUCCUUGAAAGUGGCUAAAAGAGAUAUCUGAUUCCAGAGAAAGCCUUUCCUGAGGCUGUUCUCCAAAUACCUGGAAUGAGUAUGUCCAGAGAGUGAUCAGUCCACACUGUUAGCCCUUCUUAGGGAAAAGUCAAUUGGGAAAACUAUGAAGGCACACAUAUUCAUAACAGAAUAAAGCUGAUAUAGAACAAGCCAAAUAACACCAAAAGCUCCUUGGAAUUUGGCUUCCUCUGGAGUAAAUCCUUGAUCCCUCCAGGUAGUGACUUUGCCAUAACCAGCUGAGUUCUUAUGAUAUAUUCCUGUGGCCUGCAGCAGUGUUAAGCAAUUUUAUGGUUGUGAAAACAUCAUAGAAUUUACUUGCACAACUCUAAAUGAUAUCUUACUACACAGACAGCUAUGGCACACACCUAGGCUAUAAAGAAUGUGCAUACAAACUAUCCUGGAGUUUCUAGGGCCAUGAUGAACAAAAGGUUAAGUCAAGCACAAGAGAAAUUUUGCAAUUAAGAAAGGAAGUAAACAGGAGACAUGUCAGGCUGCUCCUGAUGUAAAUGGCAUCAUGUUUUAUAGUCAAUUUAUCCUUACCAGAACUAGAAGGAGUGUACUGUGAAAAAAUGAUAAAAAACAUAAGUAUGAUAAAUACAUAAACUAGUCACACAGGCAUUUAUCAUGAUCAACUAUUAUGUAUUGUAAAUAAUUGUAUGAGCUGUACCUUUCUACUGAUGGAUUGCUGGAGGUGUGUUCAUAUCAUCAUCAGUACAAGCUCGUGAGUAAUUCACUAUAAUCAAGUUAUGACGUUAUGGUGGUUAUGACAUAACUAGGCAAGAAAAACACUUUCAGAUCUGUUAUACCCUCAUAGGCCCACUAUCACACAUGCAGUCCUGCUGAUUGUCGAUUGAAGCACCAUGCACAUGCUCCCUCAGUGAGACUUAACAAAAGUCUUUCUGUAGUUCCAUUUUGAAUUUCAAUUAAAAAAAAAAAGUUUUCAAUUUUCAAGUUGACCCUAGUCAACUUUGAAGUGGGGGCAUACAUUUGGGAAAUUAUCAUUAAAUAAAAUACUUUUAGUUGACAUUCUUCUUUCUCAAUUUAUGCUUAUCACAAUCCAUUGAUUGCACAUGUGUGCGAUGUUAGCCAUAGAGACUUGGUUUUUACAGGGUACAUAUAUGUGUUGUACGAAGUGCAUGCCAGACAGAGGAAUGUGAGGCUGAAUCAGGUAGCUUAUCUAGCCUAUGGGAAGUUAAGAGGGCUGGAAAACAUGUGAACAACUUAGUUUAAAAAGUCUAGUGCCUGCAAUGGUAGGAAUACAUAUAAGGGAGGAGAGGAUUUAUUUCACACAUGAAAUAUAAAUAUAAAUAACUUCUAGCCUAUGAGACUGUGAUUUUCAUGAAUGCAGUUCCUGAAUUUUUGGGACUUCUCCCAUAAAGAGAUGUCUGUGUCCUUCGGCCUUGAACCUGGGUUCCGUGGCUGCAGGAUUGAUAGACUACAGUGGAAGUGAUGUCAUGCACUUUCCAAGCCCAAGCUGCCUUAAGCAGCUGGCAACCUCCACCUCUCAUCUUUGAGGUCACUGGCUCUUGGAAUCCGACACUACUACUGGAGGAAGCCCAGAGUACUCCACUUUGGUCAAACACGUAGUGAAGCUGAGCCCCACAAAGACAGAACUGUUGGCAGCUCUCCCCCUGUCUCAGCCUCUCAUCCCAGUUUCUGCCAUGGUCUGACUGGAUGCCACCAAGCUCUGCCAAUCUCUCUGGAGUCUCACGUAAAUGGACUCAGCAAUUGCCUCAUAGGACAGGAGUAAGGUGUAGGUUCAAUUGGGACAAGGAGAUAGCUGACCUCACCCCUUCUUCAUACAGUCCAAGCUCCUUUCCAUGUGCCCCCACCUUUGACUUCUUUAUAACAUGGGCUGUCAGAGUACUGGGUUCCUCACAUGGCAGCUCAUUUUCCCCAAAGUGGCUCUCCAAAAGAGCAAGACAGGAGCAGAAAAGCUUCUCAUGUCCUAGGCUUAACAGACUUGCAAUUGUCAGGCCAGGUUUGAUGAGGAACUACCCAAGGGCCUGGCUCAGUGAAAGGGCAUCUCUCAAGACCGGACGGUAGCUUGGUUAUUGCCUUGUAGACAAAAGAGCAUCGCUGAGGCUUUUCAAUAGGAGAGGGAUUUGAUUUGAAUUUUGGUUAAAAAAGUUAGUCUAGGAUUAUGUGUGGACCAGAUUAGAAAGGAAAGACUCCUUUGGUUUUUUUUUGUGGGGGGGUGACAUUGAGGGUAUCUGUGAAGGCUUAAGGAGAUCUCAGAUGCCAAGUAUUUGCUUCAGGACCAAAAAGCCCUGUAGUCCCAAAGCAGAAAGUCUCCAUCCAUACAAACAGUGGGCUGUUCGUUCUUCAAAAACAAACUCAAAUAGGUUAGGAAAAAGAUGAGACCCAGUCUCUUACCAUGAAUAGACUGUGUAAACAGAAGAGCUGAGACUGUUUUUAAAUUAUUCUCCACAUUACAAAACUACUUCCUAAUAUUCCAGGAGGGAAAGAAAUAGGUAACUUCUGGGAACAAAGUGGGAUGGGAAACGGACUCCAUAAAUCCAACACUCAGCAUCCUGGUUCUGUUGUCCUAUGACAUCAUAGACAUGGUAAUGGGGAUCGUGGAGACCUAAACUAGAAAAGAAAAUGAAGGGCUGUUUGGAGUCCUGUCUGAGCUUCCUCUUCACACUAACCUGGUUGACUUUGCCUUUGAGAAAGGCUUAGGGUUACAAGAACAGGCUCCAAAGGUGGAGAACUCAGCUAGUGUUGUCUAUCAGUCAGCAAACCCUGGGCUGCCCCCUAACAAACAUUCCCAGUCAAUGCUCAAGAUAGCCAUCACCAAAACACCAAAUUCCCCAGCCUUUACUGAAGCAACCAGGGGCAGAAAUGAUGGCUUUUUGACCUAUAUCUGAGCUACAUCCUGUGGGGUUUUUUGAGGUUGUUUUUUUGUUGGUGGUGGUGAUGGUUUUUGUUGGUUUUGUUUUCCACCAGCUCCUUUUCAGUAUUUUAUUUUCAGAAUGUGUUCCAGUUUGUUUUCUAUUGCUGGGGGGGGGGGACACCAACCAAAAGAAACUUGGAGGGAAAGAGGUUUAUUUGAUUUACAUAUCCUAAGUUACAGUCUACCAGGGGAAGUCAAGGCAGGACUCAAGGCAGACUCUUCACGGCUUACUCAGCCUGCUUUCAUAUACAACCCAGGAACACCUGGCCAGGAGUGACACCCCCAGUCAGCGGUGCCCUCCCACAUCAAUCAUUAAUCAAGAAAAUGCCCUACAGACUUGCCUACAGGCCAGUCUGAGGGAGGCGUUUUCUCAACUGAGGUUCCCUCUUCCCUGUCUGACCCUAGUUUGUGUCCAGUUACCAAAAAACAAACCAGGACACGGUGUUUGCCAAUGAGGCGGAGGAGAGCUUCACAGCUGAGGAUGGCUCUCAAACCUGUGGCCACGUGUCUACGAACAGAUCCUAAGAGGUACCCUGAGGCCGUGAGCUGUCCAAUCUAGAACUCUCUAUCUCUCUCUCUCUCUUUUGGAAGGGAGGGCAUAUUUGUAUGUCUGUUUAUCAUCUCCCCUUACAGGGGAAAAAAAAUCCUCUUAUCCUCCUAUUAAGAAUUCCUUGUGGAGUUCAGUUGGAAAAACCAGAGAGACCCACCUCUCUGGUUUCUGUUGUUCUUCUCCCUUUUGGACCAUUGCAGAUUAUUAACUACAAGGCCCCGGGGCUGUGGGGUUGCCGGGCUUCAGUAGCACAGCCAUGGAGGCCUCUACGCCUCGAUCCACAGCCUGGAGAAACCAGCCCUGCUCCAGGCAGCCUCAGGGGUUCCAGAAAGGCUGAAAAGUCAAAGCUUCCAGGUGUCAGUCACACCUAGUGACUUUGUCAUCCAGUGUCCACCAGGGGACCAAAAACACUCAAGCUAUUUAAGCAGAGAUGAUUUCAUGAUAAAGAGUAGUGUGGACAAGAACUCCUUGCCAGGAAGCUGGCUACAUAGGUUGAAUUGACUGAUUAAAACUUCAGUGAUAGGGAGAAGUUGGAAUGUUGCAAUUCCAGAGUCUAAUUACAGUUUAUCGGAGGGUGAUCUUUAGCCAUUCACUAAAGCCAUUCACUAAAUAGCCAUUCCUUGUCCCAAUCUCUGUAUCUGAGCAAACAUCCUGCUGUUAGCUAGAACUAACAAUCUGACAAAAGAUAAAAAACCUUUUGGAGUCUAUUAACUUAAAAAAAAAAAAAGAAAAGACCUAGUUCUCCACCAACUACUUUAUCCAUGUUGUCAGGCAGCAUCCAAGGCUAUAGCAAGUCCCCCAUCUAGCUCCAUCCCUAGGACAGACACGGUGAAGGGCAGAACUAACUCCUAAGUUUUCCUCACUUCUGCACAUGCACCAUGGCACAAAUCCCCCCCAUCAAUCAAUCAAUAUUGUUUUAAUUAAAUAAAGAAAACUGUCACAUCAGCAAGCUAAAAAACUGUCGGAGGUAACAUCAGAAGUAAAAACAGAAACCCCCCCUUUUUUUCCAGUCAACUUACAUCUCUCUAUGGAGAGAUGCAGUGAUGCUCUAGUCUCAAUUCUAACUGGGGCUCGAACUCACCUCUCCCAUGUCUCCGCUAAUAUAUUUUUUAAGUGCCUUGAUUUAUAACUUUCUUUGUUCUAUUACCAUGAAACUGUUUUCACAUUAAUUUUUAGGUGGAGGGUAGAGCAGAUAGCUCAAUGGGUAAAGGCGAUCAGUUGCUGUUCAAGUUGAGGACAUGAGUUUGAACCCCACAAACCCAAUUAGAAACUGGGUGCUACACGGUGAGUAUCUGUAUGGAGAGAGGGGAAGUAGAGACAAGAUAAUCGCUGUGCACUCGUGGGCCAGCUAGCCUGGUAAAACGGCAAUGAAAAAUUAAUGAAGAGACCCUGUCUCAAACAAGAUAGGCGAGGACUGACACCAGACACUGUUCUCUGACUUUUAUGUGCGCGCGCGCGCGCGCGCGCGCGCGCGCGCGCACACACACACACACACACACACACACAUUGAAGAGCUGAGAAAGCAGAAAGAGAACAUUAAAAUAUUAAAAGGAUGGCAGCUGCUGAAAGUAGUUCUCUCUCCUAGCACUAAACUCAAGGUUAUAGAGCUCCUGAGGAACGGUGCCUACAGAGAGGUCCUGGCAUCUCCAACGGGAGAGGAUGAAGCCGGCUGUGUAUGUGUUGGAAAAUCUGGGCACUAAAUUCAGUUGUCAUUACUGCAAGAAGCUGCUGCUGCCCGAGGGAAGUGGUCAAUGGGGGAAGACUCUCUGCAGGAACAGGAAUCAAAGGAAGUAGAAAGUUCCUGUUUAUCCCCAAAGGACUCCAUCCUUCUUCCCCACCCCUAAAGGACCCACAGGCAAUGACUAUCAGGGAAGCAGCCGGCAAGUAUGCUCUGCACCCCUGGGUCUGACAUCAUCAAACCAAACAAAGCCCACAGCUGAGAGGAUGAUGCCCACCCACACUGGUGAUGACAGACCCUCUUCACCGGGUAUAUUGAUGCAAAUGCUAAUCUCAUCUGGAAACACCGUCGCACACAGGCAUGAUGAGUUCCAGGCAAUCUGGACAUUCCAUAUCCUAGUCAAACUGACACAUAGAUUAACUACUUUACUCGUCUUUCCUAUCUGUUUUCCGUUUAGUGCCCAGAGUGGACAUUCAGAAACUCAGACUGGAACAUAGCCUUCCCUCUGGAAAAGCUCUCCAAAGUUCCCAUUUCACUUAGAAUAAAGUCAGAAUGUUUGAACAGAACACUGAAAGAUCCCGCAUGGUCUUAUCUGUGUUUGGGUGACAGCUUCCUUCCCUGACACUCUCCUUGUCAACUCUGUGCUAGCUGGAUACCUGUCGCUCUCUCCUGUCCCGUACCGUUGAAAUCUCUCUUCCAUGUCUUGCAUACCAAACUCCUAUUAAUUCUUUAACUCUGAAGUCAAGAAAGCUACCUCCAUCACACCCUACCCUCUCCUCCAACCUAGACACAUGAAUUUAACCACCAUGUUGGUUGGUCCAAUCUUAUUCUCAGUCCCUUAUAGUCUUAGCUCCCAAUCCCAAUCCAUAAUUCAAGGGCAUUUAUUUAGUUGAUAGCCUUCUAUUCCCCACUAGAAAGUCAGCCCAAGCAGGGUAGGGGUCUUGAUUUUUUUUUCUUUUCAUUUUUUGAAGUUAGUUGAUACAUUCCUGGUGCCUCAUGUAGUCCUGACACAUAAGGGAUAUCUAAUGAACAUCUUCUAAAUAAGUUAGCAGUGUGAAAACAUAUUGUCAGUCACAGCUGUCCUCAAGAGCCACAGUCAGGACUGGAGAUGUAGUUCAGUGGUUGAGUACAAGUUUAGAAUGCAUGAGCCCCCAAGUUGCAAUUCCAGCACCCUACACAAGAAAAGGCAACAGCAAGCCCUGGUAUGGAGAAGUUUUAUUGGUCAACUUUAUGCCCAAGACUCAACUUGUUCCUGUCCUUAAAACCAUGCUCAUUCUUACACAUCCCUGGAACUCCCCCCCCCCCACUGGUUGUCAGCUGUCAAUAUUAAAAAUCAUGAAUUCAUCCUCUGCCUCAGAUAAGCUCUGCAUCUUAGCAGACACUGAACUAUGUAACAUGCCUGCACCUCUGCAUUUGAAAGUUUAUUGAGGCCAUCUGAUAUAGGAAGUCCUUAGUGAUUUACUCUCCAUCCUUCAACGUCACUGAGAGAUGCUGUCUUUUGGUCUGCUUCUAUCAACACUAGUCUGUAUAAGUGAAUGGAAAACUGUUUAUUUAAUGUGAUUUUCUUUUGUUAAGGUUACUUUCAAAACCUCCUGGAGUCAUGAAAAAAAAAAUCUUCCUUCCUAUGACACGUGUGUUCUGUAGGUGAUGUUGGUCACAGGACACAGAUUUCCUUCCAGAAUUGAAGAGAGCUUAGCCCCUUUGAGGCUGAGGCUGGCUUCUGUCAAUCAGUGUACCAGGCACCUGACCACACACAUGCUGUGCUGCACAUUGCCCCAUGGAGCAUGCAGCGCGGGGGGUGAUGAUAACGGGAAAGGGCUUCCGUUCCCAUAGACAUGAUGAACAUGGAAAUUCUCAUUUGCAGCAAAGAAUUCAUCUCCUUGUUAGAUUCCCUAAAAUAUGCCAAAAUGUUUUUAAAUUCAGAGCUCUACACUUUAUGUCAUGAAUAUUUCAUUCCUUAUCUUCAGAUAUUCUAGUUAGCAUAGAUGCUGGGGAGAAUAUUUCAUACCAGAUAAGGAAAGAUUACAUUUGCAUGCACACUCACUGUCUUAGUCUGUUUGGGGCUUCUAUUACAAGAUAACAUAAACUAGGUGAUUUUUAAACAACACGGAUGUGUUAUUUCUCAGCAUUCUGGAAUCUGCAACUCCAGGACCCAGACAGAUUUGCUGCCUGACAAUGCCCACUUCCUAGUUCAUAGGUGAUGAACUCUCUCUUCAUCCUCAUGCAGUGGAAGGGGUAAGGGUAUGCUCUGGGGACUCCUUCAAAAGGGCAUAAUUCUACACACAAGGAUUCUGCUCUUGUGAUUAAUCACCUCCCAUAGGCCUAAAACCAGCACACAGAGGGUUUGGAUUUCAACAUACAAGUUUUAGGGGAACAUAAACCUCAGCCAUAAGGGGGAAAGGACCAAAUACACCCAAGACCCUAUUAUUAUGCCAGCACAACGCUUUAUCCAGCUCUGUAAACAGGCAGAGGAAGUGGGGUCUGUACAUAGAAAUGCAUGGAGAGGUUUCAUAAACAUAAUGGCUGAGGCAGAAUUAACAUUUAAGUAUUAACUAAAAGCAAGCAAAAAUCACUUGCACAAGCAUUUUCUCCAGACGGACCACAAUCAGAUGUUAACAUCUCCGAUGAAAUGCAACCCUGAACCAUGGUGUGAACAAGCUCUUCCAUGACAAAUCUGCCCUUGUCAAUGUUGGGGUGAGUGCUCCCUUCUAAUUGCAAGCAGUUGCAAUGACAAAAUUCAUCAGACCUAGAAACAGAGGCAGAGUAUGUGUAAUUAAGCUACUGUCCCAUGGGAACAUCUGACCCAAUGGCACUGCAAAAGCCCAGGAGUUUGCACCCUGGCCAACUAUAAGGCGUUUGACUUAGAUUUUUUGUUUUGUUUUUGUUUUUAAGUUUAAAUAUCCUAGAUAAAUACAACCUAAAUGAAACUAUCAGACUUAGAACUUCCUACUUAUAUAGGUCUUUUCCUUCAAUGUUUUGUGUUUUAUAGAAUAGAGAUAUGUUCACUGCUUUGAGCCCUGGAUAAGAAACAGGUGUAGAGGCAGCUGCCCCAGGCCAUUGGGUUAUCAGUCACGUUAGACACAGGGCCCGUCACUUCUCACAAAAAUUUCAGUGACUAUUAGACCUGCAUUUUCCCACUUCCAUGCCAUUCAGGGCGAAAGGAGACAUUUCAGAAUUGAGCCCGGGAGAGGCCUCCAUGGUGUGUAGAGGCUGGUUAAUUCCACGUUCUAUAAUUUAAAAGAAUUUUUAAAAGAUUUUAUUAGAGAGGUUCUUGAUUUCAAGUGGUGCUUCAGGAAGUAAUCAACUGUUUUACUGUCAUAUUGAGCUAAUAGCUACUUCUCAGCCUGUAUAAACUCAGAUAACAUCCAUAUUCUGGGCUACACUCGGGAGCAUGGAGCAUUUGAGAACAAACUGCCUGGAAAGAGGCCUUUACAGCUAAAAGCCCACAAGACCCAUGCAUCAGGAGGGAACACACACUGAUCACGGAAAUGAGACUGAAAACAUAAGAAUGCUGGGAGUUCCUUGAAAUUUCAUCGUCAAGUCUUGGUGAAAGUGGAAGGCGAGAUGCCAGCACAGCCAAUCCAGCCACACCGACUUUUCCAAUGAGUCACGUGACCCACUGACUCCAUUGGCAUUGUGGGAAUUCCAUUCUGUACUCAAGCUACACAAAGACACCCAACUUGACACCAAAUAGAAUCAUCUAGAAAGAAGGUCCCUCAGCUGUGAAAACACCUCCCUCACAUUGGCCUGUAGCCUUUUUGCAUCAGGCUUGCGUCUGUCAUCCCUAUGCUCUAGAGGCUAAAACAGGAGGAUUGUGAAUUUGAGAUCAUACUGGACUCUAUGGCCCAAAAGGUGAACCAGGUGAUCACUUAAUCAUGAAUACUGUUUAUGCAAGUUUAUGUAAAGACCUCUAAUGGAAACUCCGGGCCCAGAGCUUGGGAGAAAGUUCCAGGCCAGCAAUCUUCUAGCACAUCGCCUCACAUUGGUGCUAGGAAAACGAAUGCCUCCUGACCUCUGUCAAGGAAAAACACAACCCUUUCUCCAAAGAGAGUACCAUGUCACUGUGUCCUCUGAAUUGAAACACUCCCUCCUGGAGGGAGGAAGGACGCUGGUAAGAUCCAGGAAGCGAAGUGAACUUGUAAGACUUUUGAAGCUCAGAAAAUGACGAGACUAAAAGGCUCUUCCUUGAGCUUAUAGAAGCAGUAAUCAGGAAAACCGCUGGUGAAGAGGAGACACUUUUGGGGAACCACCUGCAAGUUGAACAGGGAGCUCCCGGCAUACAGACUUUUAUGAAUCAUCGCCCACGCUAGGGUGAGGUUUUACAGUCUUGUGGCCCCCAGGGGUUCACCGAGCUCCUGUAACUCCUCAUCCAUGUUCCCAUAAAUAACUCCAAAGAAACCCGUUGUCUCACCAAGCUAGGCUUGUGUGGAAUUUGGUCUGUUUGUGCUCUAUCUGGGGGACCGGUGUUCGUGCAUGUCUUCCCAGGAAGAGUUUUGCAACAGAAAAUAAAAACAAGGUCUAAAGGGUCAUGACUUGGAAACAUGGGUAGAGGUUGAUUUGAAUGGCAUGUAUGUUCCAGUUGUGGAAGAGAUAACAUGGAUUCUAGUAGUCCCCCAAACAAAAGGAAGUUAAUAGACAAUUAUAUUUACCAAAGUGUUGGUGGAAGUAGUCUAUAGGUUUCUAUUCUAUAGGUUGCCCAUGCUGUCUUGUAAAAUUCUUAGGUCUGGGUCUGUGGAAACAUGUACUGCUAAGUUAAAAUUUUCCCAGGCUUUUACCUAGUAGUCACAAUGAUGCUAGGUAUAAUGCAUAAGUUAGUAAUGAACGGCUGUGAAAGGAAAGGAAGAUUUUUUUUCCUCAGUCUGCAACAUUCCAUCUCUCCCUAAUCACUGCAGUCUGUAGAAUCUUCAACACAGAUGUGGCCUUGUCAGGGAAUUUUGGUUCACAUCACAGAGAAGUCGACAGAAUGGCUGUGAUUUGUGCCCUCCCCAUCUCAACUUUGUGUGCUUCUUCUGUGGCCAAUUCUUGUUCGCAUCCUUCCCCAUGAUAAACUGUGCGUAACACCUUUCACUCAGCUCUAUGAUCUUCCUAGCAAAUAUUAAACCUCACAUUGGUUUCAAGAACCCCCUACAUUUGUCAUUGGUGUCAAGUGAAGGUAAUUUUGUGUGAACUGGACAUCUCUCUGUGUCACGACACUCCUGUUUCUUUCAGGCCUAUCUUAGAAAUAAUUAGUUACAAAUUCUUAAAAAACAAAAACAUAAACAAAAUAAUGAGAUCUACUGUUGGAAAGCAAAAUACAGCAUCUUAGGUUCAUCAUAUUCCUUUAACUCUAUAAAUCUAUAAAUAGUAUCAUUAGUUGCUGUGGAACUAGCUACACACUGUUAAGCAAAGGAAAACUAAUAAAUAGACCAGAAACCAAAGCUGACUUAUUCACAAAGUCAAUAAAGCUGAUAAACUUUGGACUGGAUUGAGCUGAACAAAACUGCAGAAGGCAUAAUAUAUAUAUUCAACAUAAAGGCUUAGUAAACUCAGCAGGGAAAGGACAAUUGUUGUGGCUGAAGUGCGGAAUGUCCCCCAUAGGCUCACGUGUUUAAACACUUGGCCCACAACCAGUGGUGCUGUUUUAGAAGGUUGUGACACCUUCCAGAAUUGCAACCUUGCUGAAGGUAAGUUGGUCAUUAGGGGUGAGCCUUGACAUAGGAUGCCCCGAAUCCACUUCCUGUCUAUGUUCAGGACAGGACUGAUUCAUACAUCCAUUUAGGACUUCUUGACAGCGGGCAUAUCUGAUCAGAUGUGUUGUGCAUGUUUCGGCCACUGAGUUCCGAACUGUCAAACCGAGAGCCAGAAUAAAGCUUCUUUCCUUAUGGUGCUUUUGUUGAUAUUUUGUCAGGGCAACUAGAAAAGUAACACACACACACACACACACACACACACACACACACACACACAGAGUUUCAGGAGUGGGUGGCUGCUGUACUAAACCUGACCAUGUGGUGCCUAAUAAGACUUUGGAAUGGGUUUGUGGGAGGAAUGUGGCUUUGGAACUUGGGGCUAGGAAAUCCUUAGAAUACUUGAACAAAACUUAGCUUCUGGUGGAAGUUAAAAAGACCAGCUUGCUGAGAGAACUGUGGCUCAUGGGAGGCCAUCUCAGCAUUUCAGAGGGGAACGGGAACUCUGGAGAACUGGGGCUAGAGAUCCUUCAUGUUAUAUUCUGGUAAACGAAUUUGGCUGCAUUCUGCCUGUGUCUGGAGAGCUUGAAUGAGAAUGAAUUUAAAGGCAAUGGACUAAUAUAUUUGGCAGGGGAAAUCUCAAAACAGGAUGCAACUCAGGCUGUGACACUGUUACUGCUUAUUCCUCUAUCAAGGUCUAAGAGCAACAGCUAAAACUAAAAAAUAUGAAAAUGUUCAGUCUGGUGGAGAAAGGAAUUGGUUUAAAGUUUUAGACAGAGUGAGUUCUGGGAAAACAGCUAUAACUGUUAAAGUGAUAAGCCCCAUUAGAAAGAAAUAGUGUGUCCUAUACUGGACAAUAGAAAAAGUGUCAAAGGGCAAGACCUCACUCAUUCAAAGCUCCAUCUUGUGUAAAUGCAAAUUAAUUAGAAAGGAAAGCACCAAGACUAAGAUGUCACUGCAGAGAUUCCCUGCUCAAAAAGCACCACCUAGGAAACUAUUUCUCAGGGUCAUCACACAGAGGGUAGUGAAACUGUGGUCAAAGCAACUGAAUCUCAAGCUAGCAGCAGAACUUGGCAACACUGUCCAUAUUGUUUCACACGAAAGAUACAAGUGAUGGGGGUCACAAAGGUUUGUAUCAAGGUCUCUGAAGGUUUCUGAGGCCAGGCAAUAUAUGUCAGGGUCAGAGUUCCUGCAAGGGGGCCCCAAGAAACCACUGUGUGAAACUGUAAAGAUUAAGUCCAAGUCACAGUGGAGACAUCAAGAUGAUGGAGAUGCCAGGACUGUGGAACAUCUGUUAAAGAAAACUGCUGGUGUGAAAUGGAGCCUGCCAAACAGAGAAGUUGUGUGCUACAGGGGGAAGAGGUUUAGGAACAGUGCUUCCAAAGCCCUUUGGAGCUCACAUAGUUCCAUUACAAGGCUUAUAUGCCGACAUGGAGUUGAAGGAUAUGGUGUUUGCCUUGUUGGGUUUCACUCCUGAAUUGUCCUGAUCCUUCCUUGCUCUGCCUCUAUUCCUCCCUUUUAGGACAGAAAUGUUUACUCUGUGCCAUUAUAUGGGGCAAGUAUGUAACUUGAUUAUUUAUUUACUUAUUUUGCAUUUUUGUUCUUUACUUUUAAUUUAUUGAUUGCUUAUAUGUGUGAGCAUGUGUAUGAGUAUGUGUGUAACUUGUUUUUAAAAACAUUUUUGAACAGGUUCAUAGUUAAAAUAUUGCCUUGACUCUCAAAAGAAACUGGACUUUUGUUUAAAGACUAUUGGAAUUUUUUAUAUUGGAAUGAAUGCAUUUUCAUUACGAGAUAGGAUGAGCCAUGGGGCAUCAAGGCCAGAAUGCUGUGAUUUGGAUGUGAAAUGGUCCCUUGAGGAUUAUGCGUUUAAACACAUAGUCCAGAAUUGAUGACACGGUUUGAAAAGUUAUAAAACUGAAGCGCUGCUGGAGGAAGUGGAUCACUAGGGGUGGGACUUUUAUAGCCCCGCCCCAUUUCCUGUUUGCUCAACGCUGCUUUCUAUCUGUGAACUCAGUGUCUCCAGCUGCCUCAUGCUCCUGCUGCUCUGACUUUGAUCCUCAAACUGACCCAGACUGAACCCUCUUUCCCUAACUUUCUUUUGCCAGUAUUUCAUCACAGCAAGGAGAAAAUUAACUGCGGCAAAAAAUCUUUUCACAAAGUAGUGCUAGAAAAAUCCGUUUGCUGUAUGCGAGUGCCGUUUUAAUCUGAACUUCGUGCCUUAUAAAAAUUAAUUUGAAAUGGAUCGUGUACCUAAAUGCAAAAAUCAAAAAUUGAAAUGUAUUCAGAAUAAAAUAUAAGAUGAAAACCACAUUAACCUUUUAGUCAGCCAAAGAGACAAGCAUCAUUAAAAGGAAAUCUCAUGUUCUGUACUGGGACUGUGAUCCCCUAAAAGAAAGGCUCCAA